rnacentral:tRNA from 1 species
GGUCCGCUAUCUCAAAUGGUCAGAGCGCCCGGCUCAUAACCGGGGACAUCCUGGUUCGACUCCAGGGCGGACCACCA